AUUGAACGCUGGCGGCAGGCCUAACACAUGCAAGUCGAGCGGUAGAGAGGUGCUUGCAUCUCUUGAGAGCGGCGGACGGGUGAGUAAUGCCUAGGAAUCUGCCUAGUGGUGGGGGAUAACGUUCGGAAACGGACGCUAAUACCGCAUACGUCCUACGGGAGAAAGCGGGGGAUCUUCGGACCUCGCGCCAUUAGAUGAGCCUAGGUCGGAUUAGCUAGUUGGUGAGGUAAUGGCUCACCAAGGCGACGAUCCGUAACUGGUCUGAGAGGACGACCAGCCACACUGGGACUGAGACACGGCCCAGACUCCUACGGGAGGCAGCAGUGGGGAAUUUUGGACAAUGGGCGCAAGCCUGAUCCAGCAAUGCCGCGUGCAGGAUGAAGGCCUU
rnacentral:rRNA from 1 species